CUCCUACGGGAGGCAGCAGUAGGGAAUUUUCCGCAAUGGGCGAAAGCCUGACGGAGCAACGCCGCGUGCAGGAGGAAGGCCUUCGGGUUGUAAACUGCUUUUAAUGGGGACGAUUUUGACGGUACCCAUAGAAUAAGGAUCGGCUAAUUCCGUGCCAGCAGCCGCGGUCAUACGGAAGAUCCGAGCGUUAUCCGGAAUUACUGGGCGUAAAGAGUUGCGUAGGUGGCAUAGUAAGCGAGCAGUGAAAGGUCCCGGCUCAACCGGGGAUACAUCGUUCGAACUACUAAGCUUGAGCAUGAGAGAGGUAGAUGGAAUUUCUAGUGUAGGAGUGAAAUCCGUAGAUAUUAGAAGGAACACCGAUGGCGUAGGCAGUCUACUGGCUCAUUGCUGACACUAAGGCACGAAAGCGUGGGGAGCGAACGGGAUUAGAUACCCCGGUAGUCCACGCCGUAAACUAUGGACGCUAGCUGUUAUCAGUAUCGACCCUGGUAGUAGCGAAGCUAACGCGUUAAGCGUCCCGCCUGUGGAGUACGAGCGCAAGCUUAAAACAUAAAGGAAUUGACGGGGACCCGCACAAGCGGUGGAGCGUGUUGUUUAAUUCGACGGUAAGCGAAGAACCUUACCAGGGUUUGACAUCCUGCCAAGGUCUCCGAAAGGAGACUGUGCCUUCGGGCCG
rnacentral:rRNA from 1 species